rnacentral:rRNA from 1 species
UACGAAGGGGGCUAGCGUUGCUCGGAAUCACUGGGCGUAAAGGGUGCGUAGGCGGGUCUUUAAGUCAGGGGUGAAAUCCUGGAGCUCAACUCCAGAACUGCCUUUGAUACUGAAGAUCUUGAGUUCGGGAGAGGUGAGUGGAAUGCCGAGUGUAGAGGUGAAAUUCGUAGAUAUUCGGCGGAACACCAGUGGCGAAGGCGGCUCACUGGCCCGAUACUGACGCUGAGGCACGAAAAGCGUGGGGAGCC